rnacentral:rRNA from 1 species
UACAGAGGGUGCGAGCGUUGUCCGGAAUCACUGGGCGUAAAGGGCGCGUAGGCGGCCUGAUAAGUCGGGGGUGAAAUCCUGUGGCUCAACCACAGGGCUGCCUCCGAGACUGUCGGGCUCGAGCACAGUAGAGGCAGGUGGAAUUCCCGGUGUAGCGGUGGAAUGCGUAGAGAUCGGGAAGAACAUCGGUGGCGAAGGCGGCCUGCUGGGCUGUUGCUGACGCUGAGGCGCGACAGCGUGGGAGGCA